rnacentral:rRNA from 1 species
GCAGUAGCCGCGGGAAUACGGAGGGUGCAAGCGUUAAUCGGAAUUACUGGGCGUAAAGCGCACGCAGGCGGUCUGACAAGUCAGAUGUGAAAUCCCCGGGCUUAACCUGGGAACUGCAUUUGAAACUGUCAGGCUGGAGUCUUGUAGAGGGGGGUAGAAUUCCAGGUGUAGCGGUGAAAUGCGUAGAGAUCUGGAGGAAUACCGGUGGCGAAGGCGGCCCCCUGGACAAAGACUGACGCUCAGGUGCGAAAGCGUGGGGAGCAAACAGGAUUAGAGACCCGCGUAGUCCCUGUCUCUUAUAC